rnacentral:rRNA from 1 species
UACGUAGGGGGCAAGCGUUGUCCGGAAUCAUUGGGCGUAAAGAGCUCGUAGGCGGCUCAGUAAGUCAGGUGUGAAAACUCCAGGCUCAACCUGGAGACGCCACUUGAUACUGCUGUGGCUAGAGUCCGGUAGGGGAGCAUGGAAUUCCUGGUGUAGCGGUGAAAUGCGCAGAUAUCAGGAAGAACACCCGUGGCUAAGGCGGCUCUCUAGUACGGUAACUGACGCUGAGACGCGAAAGCGUGGGGAGCGAACAGG